UCCAGCUGUUCUAACACCUCCUGCCUGCCAGUACUGACUCUUUAUGCAUGGGGGCUUCCGGCUUAUCUAUACUUCGAAGACAGUGAACUAGGUUAACCAGAUAUAGGACUCCUCUGUCUUGCUACGAUGGACAGCCACAAGGAUUCACUUGAAUAAAAGAAGCAACAGUGGGUGCCAGGCUGUUUGAAUUCUUAUUCGGGGUCCAGAGAGAUGGGUAAGAGCAUUUGUUGCUCUUGCAGCGGACCUGGGUUUGGUGUCUAACAUCCAUGUGGUGGCUCACAUCCAUCAGUAACUCCAUUCGAGGAGAUCCAAUACCCUCUACUGCCCUCCUCUAGUACCACACAGAAAUGUGCUGUUUUGUUAUACAUUUAUUACAAAGAAUCUCACAAAAAGAAAAUAUUUCAAAAAGAAUGCCAGGCUAAAGAACCUCCACCUGGAGAACUGGGGGAAGGCAGGGCAAUAAUAUCAACGUCAACAUACAGCACCCUCUGGCCAUACUUUAGCAGUUCCAGGAUGGCCAAGACGACAUCGUUGAUGUAACAGAAACCUGAGGCGUCAGACUUCUUUACAUGAUGCAGUCCCCCAGCCUGGCUCGCAGUGAUGUCCCUCUGAUGUGUAUCAAGUUUCACAGCACUUUCCAAAGAGCCACCAAUAGACAACUGACAACUCAGACAGGCCAUCGAUUACCGGGAAGUCCUCACCAACGCGGAAUCUCUGCAUCUGCUUGCUGUAUUUAGACACAUUAUCUGGGCGAAUAGAGCACAAGAGUUUAAUGUAGUCAUCACUGUGGGACUUGGUCAUCUCCUCAGCGUUGGCUCUGUGAGGACGAUAGAUUUCCAUUUUUUGGUAGAGAUGUAGUUGAGCUGCAAAUCACGAGUCAUGUGGAUUCGGUGAGGCUUCAUUGGGUGGCCCUGUCCAUAAGAUAGUUUCCAACAUCCCUGUUAACAGACGUUCCUCUUGCCCUGAGUCUGUGCCAUCUUUCUCACCACCCAGUGCUCCUGCCAGUCUGAUGUUUUAAUAUUUUUAGAUGGUGAUGCUUUGAGUUUAAAUGGCCUUUGACAAAUUCUAUCCUAAUUUCUAAUUAAGACAAGGAAAGAAAACAAAGAUGGAUAAGGACCAUAAAGUAAUGAAUGGACUGGAAACAGAAGUAAACUUAUUCAACAAUAAAA
rnacentral:lncRNA from 1 species